CAUGGAUAACUGUGGUAAUUCUAGAGCUAAUACAUGCACAAAAGCCGCGACUUUUAACCAAGAAGCGGUGCGUUUAUUAGACCAAGACCAAUGGGUGCUUGCACCCCUCAAAUGUGGUGACUCUGGAUAACUAAUGGCCUAAAAACCAUGAUGCUGACCCUAUGGCCCGCGAGCAAUCGCACAGUGCCGAGGGCGAAUCAUUCGAGUGUCUGAUCUAUCAACUGUCGAUGGUAAAUUAUAUGUUUACCAUGGUUGUAACGGGUAACGGGGAGUUAGGGCUCGACUCCGGAGAGCAAGCCUGAGAAACGGCUAGCACAUCCAAGGAAGGCAGCAGGCGCGCAAAUUACUCAAUGUUAGAACAACGAAGUAGUGAAGAAAAAUAACGAUGUAGGUUCUUUUUAUAGGAUCUACAAUUGGAAUGAGUACACCGUAAAUACGUUAACGAGUACCAAUUGGAGGGCAAGUCUGGUGCCAGCAGCCGCGGUAAUUCCAGCUCCAAUAGCGUAUAUUAAAGUUGCUGCGGUUAAAAAGCUCGUAGUUGGAUUUCAGACCUAUUGCUAGCAAAGCUGCACUAUUCAACGUCUAUCGGUUUGGGGCCGCGUUCGCGCGUGUUUCCUUCAAAUCAUAGACGGGUGUUAGCUCAUUGUUAGCUGGUCGUUUCGUCACUUUUUAACAGGACGAAGCAGGCUGUAUCAUUGGCUAGUAGUGUCAUCUUGUAUGCCUACGCUACAAUGGUCAGCAUGUUUACCUUGAGAAAAUUAGAGUGCUCAAAGCAGACAUCGCGGGUCGCAAGGCUUGCAUUAAUGUCUGAAUAAUGUUGCAUGGAAUAAUAGAAUAUGGCCUCGGUUCUAUUCUGUUGGUCUUGUAGAACAACAAACAAGUUCACAUGUUCAAAUCAUGUUGUUAGCUUGGUGGACUAUUGUCUGUAUUGGUUUUAGUUUAUGGCAAGCUUAGUGUUAUCAUGCUUAGUAUGCGGGCCAAAAGCUUGUUGUAUUGGGUAUGCAUCGCGAGUUUGUUUAAACUUUUGAACCGUACUGGACGUAGUCCCUCGUAAAGCCAAGUUAGCUAACACGAACAUGUGAAUCGAGGCAAUGGUUAAUAGGGACAGACGGGGGCAUUCGUACUGCUUCGCUAGAGGUGAAAUUCUUAGACCGAAGCAAGACGAACUAAAGCGAAAGCAUUUGCCUAGAAUGUUCUCAUUAAUCAAGAACGAAAGUUAGAGGUUCGAAGGCGAUCAGAUACCGCCCUAGUUCUAACCAUAAACGAUGCCAACUAGCAAUCAGGCUGAGUUUUUUAAAAUACAAAUGACUCGCCUGGCGGCUUCGCGGGAAACCAAAGUUUUUCGGUUCCGGGGGAAGUAUGAUUGCAAAGUUGAAACUUAAAGGAAUUGACGGAAGGGCACCACCAGGGGUGGAGCCUGCGGCUUAAUUUGACUCAACACGGGGAAACUUACUAGAUUAGAACGCUGGAAUGAUUGACAGAUUAAUAGCUCUUUCUUGAUUCAGCGAGUGGUGGUGCAUGGCCGUUCUUGAUUCGUAGAAUGAUUCGUCUGCUUAAUUGCGAUAACGAGUGAGACCUCGACCUACUAACUAGUUUCGUUCAUCAUUUGGGAUAUAAAACGCUUUGCGUAUUUGCCUGGCAGUGCAUGUAGCAAUAUGUGUAUUGCUUGUGUGAUGCGUAGAGUAGGCCCUCUGCUGGACGAAGACUUCUUAGCGGGAUAAACGGUGUUUUAGCCGUAAUAAAUGAGGCAAUAACAGGUCUGUGAUGCCCUUAGAUACUCUAGGCCGCACGCGUGCUACACUGGUAGAGGCAGCAUGCUUAAUUUAAACAAUUGCCUUGGAAUUCUAUCAGUUUUCUGCGUUAGUAUGAGGGUUCGCCUGAGUGCUGGCGUAUGUUGAUUGGUGUGAGCCGAGGAUUUUAUUGUUUGAAAAAACCUUGGCUGAAAAGCCUGGGCAAUCCUUUGAAACUCUACCGUGAUUUGGGAUUGGGAAUUGCAAUUGUUUUCCAUGAACGAGGAAUCCCCAGUAAGCGCAAU
rnacentral:rRNA from 1 species